ACGCUGGCGGCGUGCCUAAUACAUGCAAGUCGAGCGCAUGACGAGGAGCUUGCUCCUCUGAUUGAGCGGCGGACGGGUGAGUAACACGUGGGCAACCUGCCCUGUAGACGGGGAUAACUUCGGGAAACCGGAGCUAAUACCGGAUAAUCCUCUUCCCCACAUGGGGAAGAGUUGAAAGGCGCUUUUGCGUCACUACAGGAUGGGCCCGCGGUGCAUUAGCUAGUUGGUGGGGUAACGGCCUACCAAGGCGACGAUGCAUAGCCGACCUGAGAGGGUGAUCGGCCACAUUGGGACUGAGACACGGCCCAAACUCCUACGGGAGGCAGCAGUAGGGAAUCUUCCACAAUGGACGAAAGUCUGAUGGAGCAACGCCGCGUGAGUGAUGAAGGUUUUCGGAUCGUAAAACUCUGUUGUAAGGGAAGAACCAGUACGUCAGGCAAUGGACGUACCUUGACGGUACCUUAUUAGAAAGCCACGGCUAACUACGUGCCAGCAGCCGCGGUAAUACGUAGGUGGCAAGCGUUGUCCGGAAUUAUUGGGCGUAAAGCGCGCGCAGGUGGUUUCUUAAGUCUGAUGUGAAAGCCCACGGCUUAACCGUGGAGGGUCAUUGGAAACUGGGAGACUUGAGUGCAGAAGAGGAAAGUGGAAUUCCAAGUGUAGCGGUGAAAUGCGUAGAGAUUUGGAGGAACACCAGUGGCGAAGGCGACUUUCUGGUCUGCAACUGACGCUGAGGCGCGAAAGCAUGGGGAGCAAACA
rnacentral:rRNA from 1 species